ACAAACUUGGUCAUUUAGAGGAAGUAAAAGUCGUAACAAGGUUUCCGUAGGUGAACCUGCGGAAGGAUCAUUAACAAUUGUCCACGAUAAUGGAUAAUUUAUCCAUAUCCACCUUGUGUGAAUCAUUGAAACGUUUGUUGCAGGUUAGGACUUCUCCAUUUUAUGGUAAGAGUUCGUGGGUCAGACGUCGUCUGCUCGGCCUGCCAAUUUUAUUAUGUUUAAACAUGUCUAUACAUUGGCUGAAAUUGUAUAUUUCUUAUAAUAAAUACAACUUUCAACAACGGAUCUCUUGGCUCUCGCAUCGAUGAAGAACGCAGC
rnacentral:misc_RNA from 1 species